rnacentral:rRNA from 1 species
UACGUAGGGGGCAAGCGUUGUCCGGAUUUACUGGGCGUAAAGAGCGUGUAGGCGGCCAAACGGGUCCGUUGUGAAAACUGGAGGCUUAACCUCCAGACGUCGACGGAAACCGUGUGGCUAGAGUCCGGAAGAGGAGAGUGGAAUUCCUGGUGUAGCGGUGAAAUGCGCAGAUAUCAGGAAGAACACCAAUGGCGAAGGCAGCUCUCUGGGACGGUACUGACGCUGAGACGCGAAAGCGUGGGGAGCGAACAGG